rnacentral:rRNA from 1 species
CCUUUGACGUUAGCGGCGGACGGGUGAGUAACACGUGGGUAACCUACCUAUAAGACUGGGAUAACUUCGGGAAACCGGAGCUAAUACCGGAUAAUAUUUCGAACCGCAUGGUUCGAUAGUGAAAGGUGGUUUUGCUAUCACUUAUAGAUGGACCCGCGCCGUAUUAGCUAGUUGGUAAGGUAACGGCUUACCAAGGCGACGAUACGUAGCCGACCUGAGAGGGUGAUCGGCCACACUGGAACUGAGACACGGUCCAGACUCCUACGGGAGGCAGCAGA